GUUGCUAUUUUUUAUAUCAAAGAAUUUGGCCUGAUAAGCUCAUUUUACCUAGAAAUGUCCAGCAAUGUUUUCAGCAUCACUGAAAUGUGUCACAAGUCCACAGAUGCUGCUCCCACAUUGUGGUCCAAAAGGGUUGGGGGGGCCGGUGACCAUGUCAUUGCACCCCCUCUGGAUCCAUCCCCACAAACUCACAGUGAUCAAACAGGAUCUGAUUCUCAGCUCACAAAAAGCAAUAUACUCAGACAUACCAAUAGCGUAAUGGCUGCCUCCUCAAGACAAAUCACCUUGAGACCAUAAGGUGACAGCAAAUGGAGAGAAUGGAAAGUUGCCAGCAAUAACACAGAGACAAGUUACAAAAGAAGAUUUUGAAGGUAUCAAAAGAUGAUUUAAGGAGAUACAUAGGAAGCUUCAAACAGGGUGGGGUAUAGUUAGGCUGGCUUUUGUAGCAAGGGAAAGAUUUUCUAGUAUAGCUACAGAACUAAUCAAAUUCAGAGAAGACAACCUACAGACCUGCUUGCCUUCCUCAACACGGAUGGAUGAAUCAGGAUUUUCAAGGGAAGGAAAUCUAUUGUUUUUCAAAUGAUUUGCAAUUUCUUAUGCUUUAUCCUUUGAGUAAAAGCAAU